UUCUACGUACCGCUAUAUGAUAAGACUAGUGGGUAUUAUAUGCUGCUGCUCUUCAACGGUCUAGCCCUUUCAGAAUAAACUGCACGCUGACGCGCACGGGAACAGAGAUGACUGAUUCCUACUUGUUCGCAGCAAUAACUGCGUUGCUGGUGUUCACAGUAGGAGCUGACGACUAUUUGAAUGCAGAUGAUGCACUUGAAGCAGCAGAUAACGCUAUACGAGAUCUUCGGUACAUACACUCUGAAGUCGUUUCUUCGAACGUUUCUCAAGAUGACGGAUCGUUAAUCUGGGUCCCAAUUGUGGCAGCAGUAGGUGGCCUGAUCGUCCUCAUCUUAUUGUGUUUCUGCAUCUGUCACUUCUGCUGCGGCUGCUGUAGGAAGGACACCCACAUCUCCAAUACCACUGUCGUGCAACAGUCGGCAAUGGCGUCCAGUGCUGCACCCACUGUCGUGAUGGUUCCUGGAUUCCAACCUACAAUGGGACAACAGCAACCUGAUCCAGGAUUCACGAAUUACACGUACAAUCCAAAUCAAGAGUGGUCACGUCGGGCCCAUCUAGCGACACAAGAAAUGACGCCACCACCAUAUGCGAAAUAAACGGUCACGGUUUUGGACCAUUUGAAGCAAAAA